rnacentral:rRNA from 1 species
CAGGAUGAACGCUAGCUACAGGCUCAACACAUGCAAGUCGAGGGGCAGCAUAACGAAAGCUGCUUUGUUGAUGGCGACCGGCGCACGGGUGAGUAACGCGUAUCCAACCUUCCCUAUAGUAGAGAAUAGCCCGGCGAAAGUCGGAUUAAUGCUCUAUGUUCUUCUUUGAUGGCAUCUGACGAGAAGCAAAGGUUCACCGCUAUAGGAUGGGGGAUGCGUCUGAUUAGGUAGUCGGCGGGGUAACGGCCCACCGAGCCAUCGAUCAGUAGGGGUUCUGAGAGGAAGGUCCCCCACACUGGUACUGAGACACGGACCAGACUCCUACGGGAGGCAGCAGUGAGGAAUAUUGGUCAAUGGGCGUAAGCCUGAACCAGCCAAGUAGCGUGCAGGAUGACGGCCCUAUGGGUUGUAAACUGCUUUUAUGCGGGGAUAAAGUCACCUACGUGUAGGUGUUUGUAGGUACCGCAUGAAUAAGGACCGGCUAAUUCCGUGCCAGCCGCAGC